rnacentral:rRNA from 1 species
UACAGAGACUGCAAGCGUUAUUCGGAUUCACUGGGCGUAAAGGGUGCGCAGGCGGCCGUGUGUGUCAGGUGUGAAAGCCCGGAGCUUAACUCCGGAAUUGCGCCUGAAACUACAUGGCUAGAGCAUUGGAGAGGGUAGCGGAAUUCACGGUGUAGCAGUGAAAUGCGUAGAUAUCUGGAGGGACACCGGUGGCGAAGGCGGCAUCCUGGAGCGGUAAUGACGCUGAGGCGCGAAAGCUAGGGGAGCAAACGGG